AUAAUGGGUCAGCGACUUAUAUUCUGUAGCAAGGUUAACCGAAUAGGGGAGCCGAAGGGAAACCGAGUCUUAACUGGGCGUUAAGUUGCAGGGUAUAGACCCGAAACCCGGUGAUCUAGCCAUGGGCAGGUUGAAGGUUGGGUAACACUAACUGGAGGACCGAACCGACUAAUGUUGAAAAAUUAGCGGAUGACUUGUGGCUGGGGGUGAAAGGCCAAUCAAACCGGGAGAUAGCUGGUUCUCCCCGAAAGCUAUUUAGGUAGCGCCUCGUGAAUUCAUCUCCGGGGGUAGAGCACUGUUUCGGCAAGGGGGUCAUCCCGACUUACCAACCCGAUGCAAACUGCGAAUACCGGAGAAUGUUAUCACGGGAGACACACGGCGGGUGCUAACGUCCGUCGUGAAGAGGGAAACAACCCAGACCGCCAGCUAAGGUCCCAAAGUCAUGGUUAAGUGGGAAACGAUGUGGGAAGGCCCAGACAGCCAGGAUGUUGGCUUAGAAGCAGCCAUCAUUUAAAGAAAGCGUAAUAGCUCACUGGUCGAGUCGGCCUGCGCGGAAGAUGUAACGGGGCUAAACCAUGCACCGAAGCUGCGGCAGCGACACUAUGUGUUGUUGGGUAGGGGAGCGUUCUGUAAGCCUGUGAAGGUGUACUGUGAGGUAUGCUGGAGGUAUCAGAAGUGCGAAUGCUGACAUAAGUAACGAUAAAGCGGGUGAAAAGCCCGCUCGCCGGAAGACCAAGGGUUCCUGUCCAACGUUAAUCGGGGCAGGGUGAGUCGACCCCUA
rnacentral:rRNA from 2 species